AGCGAACGCUGGCGGCAGGCCUAACACAUGCAAGUCGAACGAAGCCUUCGGGCUUAGUGGCGGACGGGUGAGUAACACGUGGGAACGUACCUUUUGGUUCGGAACAACUCAGGGAAAUUUGAGCUAAUACCGGACGAGCCCUUAGGGGGAAAGAUUUAUCGCCGAAAGAGCGGCCCGCGUUAGAUUAGCUAGUUGGUGAGGUAAAGGCUCACCAAGGCUACGAUCUAUAGCUGGUCUGAGAGGAUGAUCAGCCACACUGGGACUGAGACACGGCCCAGACUCCUACGGGAGGCAGCAGUGGGGAAUCUUGCGCAAUGGGCGAAAGCCUGACGCAGCCAUGCCGCGUGAAUGAUGAAGGUCUUAGGAUUGUAAAAUUCUUUUACCAGGGACGAUAAUGACGGUACCUGGAGAAAAAGCCCCGGCUAACUUCGUGCCAGCCGCCGCGGUAACAC
rnacentral:rRNA from 1 species